rnacentral:rRNA from 1 species
GGUUACUGCUAUCGGUGUUCGCCUAAGCCAUGCGAGUCAUAUGUUCUUCGGAACAUGGCGUACUGCUCAGUAACACGUGGAUAACCUGCCCUUGGGUCCGGCAUAACCCCGGGAAACUGGGGAUAAUUCCGGAUAACGCACAUAUGCUGGAAUGCUUUAUGCGUCAAAUGGAUUCGUCCGCCCAAGGAUGGGUCUGCGGCCUAUCAGGUAGUAGUGGGUGUAAUGUACCUACUAGCCUACGACGGGUACGGGUUGUGAGAGCAAGAGCCCGGAGAUGGAUUCUGAGACAUGAAUCCAGGCCCUACGGGGCGCAGCAGGCGCGAAAACUUUACAAUGCGGGAAACCGUGAUAAGGGGACACCGAGUGCCAGCAUCAUAUGCUGGCUGUCCGGGUGUGUAAAAUACACCUGUUAGCAAGGGCCGGGCAAGACCGGUGCCAGCCGCCGCGGUAACACCGGCGGCCCGAGUGGUGAUCGUGAUUAUUGGGUCUAAAGGGUCCGUAGCCGGUUUGGUCAGUCCUCCGGGAAAUCUGACGGCUUAACCGUUAGGCUUUCGGGGGAUACUGCCAGACUUGGAACCGGGAGAGGUAAGAGGUACUACAGGGGUAGGAGUGAAAUCUUGUAAUCCCUGUGGGACCACCUGUGGCGAAGGCGUCUUACCAGAACGGGUUCGACGGUGAGGGACGAAAGCUGGGGGCACGAACCGGAUUAGAUACCCGGGUAGUCCCAGCCGUAGACGAUGCACGCUAGGUGUCAGGCAUGGCGCGACCGUGUCUGGUGCCGCAGGGAAGCCGUGAAGCGAGCCACCUGGGAAGUACGGCCGCAAGGCUGUAACUUAA